rnacentral:rRNA from 1 species
AACGAACGCUGGCGGCAGGCCUAAACAUGCAAGUCGAACGAACCUUCGGGUUAGUGGCGCACGGGUGCGUAACGCGUGGGAAUAUGCCCUUCACUACGGAACAACGUCGGGAAACUGACGCUAAUACCGUAUAAUGACUCCGGUCCAAAGAUUUAUCGGUGAAGGAUUAGCCCGCGUCUGAUUAGGUAGUUGGUGAGGUAACGGCUCACCAAGCCGACGAUCAGUAGCUGGUCUGAGAGGAUGAUCAGCCACACUGGGACUGAGACACGGCCCAGACUCCUACGGGAGGCAGCAGUUAGGAAUAUUGGACAAUAGGGAACC